AAUUAAUGGAACAAUUGCUCUCCUGCCAGCUAACUGAGCUAAAAAUUAAGAAUAGACACAUACAGCUUUUGUGUGGGAGAAUGGGUUAUGGGGGUGAAGUACUCCUGUUACAAUAAGUGUCACAUUAUAUGUAUAUUUAACCCAAUAGACUCUUUAUGGCCUUAUAUUUCAUCCUGCGGGGUAUAUACAAGGCCCGCUCUGAUAACCCUAGGGGUAAUGGUCCCUAGGGCUGCUCUGGGGGUAAGGGUCCCCAGAGCUGCUCUGGGGGUAAGGGUCCCCAGAGCACAUGCCAGAAGGGUAGCGACCCCCUCUGACCUUAUUAACCUGAACCAAGGGGUAAGGGUCCCUUGGACAGUUCCUAUAACUCGGCCGAUUAUAUUUACAUUGAAUGAGUCUAUGGGCAUGAAGGUGACCUUUGGGAGCACUUCAACCCCACAAAUACAAUAAAGUGUAUCUGACACUUGAGUGUAUUCCCCAUAGACGAACAAUCCCACUCCCACAACAGCUGUAUUCAUAUAGAGGACAGCUUUUGCCAGAUGAUAGUAAGGCUUGUGCAUGUUUGAGAAUUACCAUCGCUUAUACUACAGCUGGAUAAUCAGGGAGGCCAGGAAAAACCUGCAAUACAGGAAACCUGAAUGGGGCCAAGACAAUUAACCAGCAGCUUCCCCACAAAGCUUCUAUGUUACAACUUCUCAAUAGGAGCGUUGGUAACACGACAAACAUAGCUCUAUCUUGGCAAUUUUUUAUUUGAAUUUUUUUAAAUUCAUUUAUUCUUUCACUCAGUUUUAAGUGUUUUUGAAGAGACCCAAUAUUUGCCGAACUCUUUGUCUAUCCAAAUCGUUUGCUUGGUGAAGUAACUAAUUAAUUAAGCAUAGAGGAUUAGAGCGUUUCCAGUUGAGACAUAAAUCUUGGAAUAGAGCCUAUGUUGGCAUAAAACUUUAUUACACUUCCCGAAUGAGAAAGUUUAUUAAUUAAAAUACCGUUUGUCUGUUUUCCGGUCGAGAAAACGAUGGUGAAAUGGCAGUUGCGUUUAAUGCAGUGGACGAUAACAGACAGAACAUAUUUUUGACUUUUUUGUUUAAUAUUGUUGCAGUUUGCUUGAAUUUUUCAACGUAUCAUAAAGGAAAGUAUUCGUAUAAUACAGUUUCUUGGUUUAUUCGGUAUUGCAUUGGUUGGGUCCUCGCCUGUCUACACUACAGACCAGUUUUGAAUUAUUUGAAAUCCUUAGUUUUAUUAUACAGAUAUGAAAUUGGCAACAAUGUUGAUUGUUUAUACUGUAUUAUCAUUGUGUUUCCCUCCCAGAUCGAAAGCGUUGCAAUACUGAUAAAUAAAAUAUAUAUACACAGUGCCAGUCAGUGGUCUUAUUUUACCUUUCAUUAUAAACAUAUCCAAGCUUUUACAGUCUAUAUAAACUAUAGACAUAGUAAAACACACAUGACAUUGUUAUUGAAUAUUGAGUAUUGUGUCUAUUGAGUAUUGACUGAUUUUAUAUAUCGGCAUCGUGAUUUUUAGAGUACAGUACAUCGUCAAUAUAUACAACUGUCUCUACUGUAUUUUCUUCAAGAAAAGAAAAUUCAACCGCAACGCAAAACAACAUUGAAUUAUUAAAGUAUACUAUGACGUAUAUAGAUAGUAGCGCUAUAUAAUUUUGAUAUUACAGCACUGGAGAUGCCAUGUAGCCUAUCACUGUCUCCGUUUCAUAGCUUGUCUAAAUUGUAUUGGUAGCAAUAGCUAAAUUUUUGCCCUCGAGAAAGAGCAAUAUUGCU